CAUUCCAAAUCUAUCACGAAUAACAUACCGCUGGUAUGUCAUAAAUUGAUUUUAAGCGCAUUUUGAAGUGUAUCGUGCAGGUUAUACAACUGGAUUAAUAAAUACUGAAAUAUCAUUAUUCGACUUCGACAGCGUAAUGUAAAACUUAAUAAUAUCGUUAGACUUAGAACUAGUUUAUUCGAGGAACUUUUUUUCUCAAUUGCCUUAUAAGGGUCAAGGAUAUGGCAAGCUUAAUGGGAUACAACAAAAAAUAUGAUCCGGAUUCUUAUCUAGAUUACAUAAUUUUAUCUAAAGGCCGAGACAAAUAUAUUCUAGUUUCUUACUAACCAACCUUCGACUGUGUAAGACGAGGAGAAAAUUUUCUAAAUCGGCGACGUCGUUUCUAAACUCUUAGAUAAAUAAAUGCAAUACACAUUGGACAUUACUUCGGGCUCUGUUAGUCAAGACUUUUCGUCGACAUUGUUCUUUUUACCGCAGCUGCAGUAUUUAGUAUUGCCUAACAAAAAAAAAAUCAUGUGAUUUUCGACGAUUUAUGUUUGAAGCUAAAUACAAAUGAACAGUUGUAGUGGUUUUUUAAAUGCAUAAAUGAGUACAGGAUAUUACGUAAAUGUAGAAAAGUGUGUGUUUGCCAAUCAUACGAAUAUGUUCUGUACCAAAGUCUAUACUUUGUUGAUCAUGAUAAUCGAAGGAUUAAGUGUUUAUUCAAGUUUAAUCAGACCAACGAAUAGUGAAAUAGUAUUAACGGAUUCCAUUACAAAACUAUCUAACGAAAGAACUGUUUUAAGAAAUUACUUAGUAUUAAAUAAGCUGGGUGGAAGUGGAAAUACAGCUUAAACAUAAACGACAGAAAAGACACUCGACAAAGAAGAACUGCUUGGGUUUGUGUAAACGCUCUUUGUGUCCAUGGACAGAGGUUUGGGAUAUAGAUAACGACAGAAUUCCAUCAUCUAUACCGCGGGCAAUAUGCAACAGUAAAUGCCACUUUAAUUUUACAGCCUUAAUCUCGUCAAAGAUUCUGAACGUGUUUACUGCGUGUGAACCAUUUAAAAUAGAUUAUCCUAUAUUCAAAGAUAACAAAUAUACAUACAUGAAAGACUGGCCUGUUGCUUGUGUUUGCACAAAGAAACUUAGUUCUACAGUGCCACAUAUACGUACGAAAGAUAGUCAUGUCAAUAGAAAAAAGUUAAAGAAUCACGUUUUUAAUGCCAAAAGCAGACGACACAAACACCACAAAGACAAGAAUCGACGAGGUCAUAACAAGUUGCAACGUUACAAAUAUUUCAAAGUUAUACCACCAGUUUUGAGACCUUUCCAAUUCCUUCCACAGUAUAAAAAGUGAUUUUUAUUUGCAUCAUGAAUAGGGACAUUCAGUGGAUAUGACCUUGCAUACUUUCAAAUAUUUUAUAGUUGUACUGGAAGUGUUCCUUUACGACGAUCAUCGACUAAUGUGAAAAGUAACACUUGUUUCUUGUAACUACAAUAGUACGAAAUCACAUUUCUGUAUAACAUUCAGUGCGUCUUUUACUUCCCCAUUGUCAUUCAAACUGACAUGUAAUAAAUUGAUGAUAACAUCGAAACAGAUAUCUAUUUUUUAAAUGAAAAAAAAUACAGAGGAGAACGAUAUGAAAAAGAAGUAAUCGAAGACGAAUGAGAAUAUUAUUUUGGUAUGUGGUAUAGAUGUCUUAACUAAAACACUGUUUCGUAAAUUAUCUUUGGUUCUUUUGAAUAUGUUCAUUGUAAAUGUUUAACUUUGUGCGAGUACACUGAACAUAAUGUAUAACCGGACACUAGAGCUGUUUGUUGACAGAAAAGUUAUAAAUUCUCAAUGCAUACUUUAAUGUGUCGGGGCUGACAUCAAAAGGAAAAAACACCUACGAGUUAUAUAACAGUUUUUAAAUGAUUUCACAAUAGUUAGUAAAAAUAACACAAUUAUUUACAAUGAACAUAAGGUAUUUGGAUACUCAUUUGCACAUUUCUGCGGCAAAGUGCGGAUUUGAUGUCUACAUCAUUUACCAGCUACAAUACUAAUGUUAAUUUGAAACUAAUUACAACUUUUCGAGGGUCUCCGCAAAACAUUAUCUAAUGAAAAGCAUCUGACUUGUGCAGUAAUCCACAGAUGUACCAUCAAAGAUACAGUGUCUGAAAUUAAGGGUUGUUUCUAUCUAUUUUUAUUGCAAAAGGACCUACCGCACAGUAACUUUGCGGAUGAUGGUAUGUAAUCAGCUGUUUUUGCUUCUCUUCUCAUACAUUUCCAUUUCUGUGUAAUACCCACACAGAUCUAGUAUGUUUUUGAAUAUGUAACAAUGAUGAAACUUUUGUGUAGACAAAUAUUUGUUUGCCUCAAAUAUCUAAUUACAAAGCAGCUAGGUUAGAAACAGUCUUGUGUAAUUCUUCCAAAAGCAGCGCGACCGAUGAGAAGUGAACGAAAUAUUGCCAUGUAAUACAAAGUCCCUUACUAGAAGGUGUCUAAUUAUUGCAUCUGUUGUACUGAUGAUCUAUCUACACAAUAUCGUGCUUCACAAACUAUAUGUUAUAACGCACAGUGUUUCGAUUGAAAUUUGCAUAUAUAAUCCACAGAUGUUGACUUCUUAUAACAUUUGUAAAUAUAAAAAAAAAUAUUUUUAUUAACAUUCAAUUUUAGUUGGUGGGAAAACAAGAGAAAAACAUAGUGAAAUACUUUAUCAUAUUAAAGGGGAGUAAUUCUUGAGAAAAUACACCAACAAUGUUUUAACUGGGGUCAUAGUACACAUGUGCUUUGAACAAGAGAUCUGGGUGUUGCGCAGAACACAUUGUCUUAUUAUGAGGAACAUUUUUGUCAAGUAAUAUUUAAAAUCCUUUAUAUAUAUUGUAACACCUGAGUAAUGGGGUGGGGGUGGGGGUGGAGGAAGGUGCUUACUUAUAUACGUUUCUUCUAGUCAAUGACUCUAACUGUGUUUAAACCUGUAAUCUUCUUUUAUGUAGCAAGUAACGAAGCACAGAAUUGUACACAUAUGUGUUGAUCUAGAUAAUAUGACCGACCAAGCGCAUAUUAUACAUCCCCAUGCUCGUUUAAAUCUUAUCCAAAAACGUGUUUACUUUUCUUCUGACAUCUGUUGAUGUUAUUUUUGGACACUUCAUCAUUUUCUCAGCGUGUGAAUCACUACAGCUGCUACAAAUUUGUUCCAAACAUCUGUAUUGUCUGUUCAAGAUAGCUAUCUUCCUUUUAUUUAGUCUGUGAUUUGGACAUUUUACCAUUAUACUCUCGAGAAUUGCCACAUUUUUCAAACAGGAUAUGCUUUUGUUUGAAUUGCAUUCUGGGAUUGUUCACUUCCGUUGCUAAGUAAAAUUCAUAUCACUGUAAUCUACAAUAAUCCACAAAGAUGUUUAAAUCUCUUGAACACAUUACAGUUAACACAAUAGGUGCAUAUUUUGAUGUUCAUUUCAUCUUUACAUUUCAUUAAAUCGCCAUUUUUAUGAUACGGCAGUGUUCAGGCAUAGAGUUUAACGUUUUAGGUCUCUAACGAUUUGGUCAUUUACCCAAAAUAACCCAUUUUAACUGUUUUGGU
rnacentral:lncRNA from 1 species